rnacentral:miRNA from 1 species
UUUUUAGUAGAAGUAUGUACAUGCCAUACACUAUUUGGGAUAUAGUUAUACUAAAA